rnacentral:rRNA from 2 species
UGAAUAUGGGGGGACCAUCCUCCAAGGCUAAAUACUCCUGACUGACCGAUAGUGAACCAGUACCGUGAGGGAAAGGCGAAAAGAACCCCUGUGAGGGGAGUGAAAUAGAACCUGAAACCGUGUACGUACAAGCAGUAGGAGCACCUUCGUGGUGUGACUGCGUACCUUUUGUAUAAUGGGUCAGCGACUUAUAUUCAGUGGCAAGGUUAACCGUAUAGGGGAGCCGUAGCGAAAGCGAGUCUUAACUGGGCGCUCAGUCUCUGGAUAUAGACCCGAAACCGGGUGAUCUAGCCAUGGGCAGGUUGAAGGUUGAGUAACAUCAACUGGAGGACCGAACCGACUAAUGUUGAAAAAUUAGCGGAUGACUUGUGGCUAGGGGUGAAAGGCCAAUCAAACUCGGAGAUAGCUGGUUCUCCCCGAAAGCUAUUUAGGUAGCGCCUCGGACGAAUACUACUGGGGGUAGAGCACUGUUAAGGCUAGGGGGUCAUCCCGACUUACCAACCCUUUGCAAACUCCGAAUACCAGUAAGUACUAUCCGGGAGACACACGGCGGGUGCUAACGUCCGUCGUGGAGAGGGAAACAACCCAGACCGCCAGCUAAGGUCCCAAAGUAUUGCUAAGUGGGAAACGAUGUGGGAAGGCUCAGACAGCUAGGAUGUUGGCUUAGAAGCAGCCAUCAUUUAAAGAAAGCGUAAUAGCUCACUAGUCGAGUCGGCCUGCGCGGAAGAUGUAACGGGGCUAAGCAAUACACCGAAGCUGCGGCAAUGUCUUUUAGA